GCCUGACUCAGGUUUUGUGUAGAGUUAAAUGCUCGCACAAAGGGUUCUGCUAGGAUUUGUUGUGUAACCUUAUAGUAUUUGCCUGUAAAGCCAUCUGGCCCGGGACUCUUUCCUAGUGGGAGUUGUUUAACUACAUCAUGGAAUUCUACCAUAGUGAUGGGUUUGUCUAGAAAUUCCGCCCAGUUGCGCGGGAUAGUAGUAUUUAUUCGGCUAGCUAGAAAGUCCCUUAUCUUGUCCCUA